rnacentral:rRNA from 1 species
ACGGAAGGCAGCAGUAGGGAAUUUUCGGCAAUGGGGGAAACCCUGACCGAGCAACGCCGCGUGAAUGAUGAAGUAUUUCGGUAUGUAAAAUUCUUUUAUUAGGGACGAACGAUCCGAUUAGGAAAUGAGUUGGAAGUGACUGUACCUAAUGAAUAAGCCCCGGCUAACUACGUGCCAGCAGCCGCGGUAAUACGUAGGGGGCAAGCGUUAUCCGGAAUUAUUGGGCGUAAAGGGUGCGUAGGCGGCAAACUAAGUCUGAGGUGAAAGUGCGGGGCUCAACCCCGUGAUGCCUUGGAAACUGGUUAGCUAGAGUGUGGUAGAGGCAAGUGGAACUCCAUGUGUAGCGGUAAAAUGCGUAAAUAUAUGGAAGAACACCAGUGGCGAAGGCGGCUUGCUGGGCCAAGACUGACGCUGAGGCACGAAAGCGUGGGGAGCAAACAGGAUUAGAUACCCUGGUA